AUUAACACUUACUUAUACAGUGGGUGUGUCCAGGGGGUGGUGGGAGUAUUACUGGUGAGGAGGUCCUCAGUUCAGCGUGACACUGACCAGCUCUCUGCACAGAUAUAUCUCCUCCACACCUGAUCUCUUCCAACUCUGUAGCUCUAUUCACCAUUAUGGCCGUGCUGUGGAUCCAAACUGCAUUUCUGCUGGUUUUACUGGUCAUGUCGCAGCCAAGCUCUUCGUACUCUGUGUCGCCACUGUCGCUUUGUGGCUCUGAGCUGAUCGACAUCCUCAACUUUGUUUGUGAAGACAGAGGUAUCAGACUAUCAGCGCUGAGCCGUCGCUCCAAUAAAAGGGAGAGGGACAGGCAAAUAUCAACACUUAUGAAAUGCUGUGGAGCUGUAGACUGCAACUUCAGUGACCUGGAGGAAUUCUGCCUUCCAGAAAGACACAAUAAAGCUAGAAAUUAGUGUUGACUUUGUUUACCUAGCCGUGUUUAGCAUAGCUAAGCUUCUUGACAACCUAUCAGCUCACCAGCAGUGAUGCCAUUUCACUGUAAAGUCAACUGUUCAUAGUUUAAACCAAAUUAUUUUUCAGCAAAAAUAAAGUGUUGUAACUGAGGAAGACAGUUGUUCUUUGAAAGUUAUUUUUUUAAUAAUUAUUAAUAUUGCAAAUGUCACAAUUGCAAUGAGUCACAUAAUAAUAAAUGACUUCGUG
rnacentral:lncRNA from 1 species